rnacentral:rRNA from 1 species
UGUGUAGGCGGUUCUCUAAGUUCCGUGUGAAAUCUCCCGGCUUAACUGGGAGGGUGCGCGGGAAACUGGAGGGCUGGAGUAUGGGAGAGGAAAGCGGAAUUCCUGGUGUAGCGGUGAAAUGCGUAGAUAUCAGGAGGAACACCUGCGGUGUAGACAGCUUUCUGGACCAUCACUGACGCUGAGACACGAAAGCGUGGGUAGCAAACAGGAUUAGAUACCCUGGUAGUCCACGCCCUAAACGAUGCAUACUUGGUGUGAGCCGUUCAUUCGGUUCGUGCCGGAGUUAACGCGUUAAGUAUGCCGCCUGGGGAGUACGGUCGCAAGGCUGAA